rnacentral:rRNA from 1 species
UACGUAGGGGCCGAGCGUUAUCCGGAGUUACUGGGCGUAAAGCGCGGGCAGGCGGUUCUGCCAGUCUGAUGUGAAAUCUCCCCGCUCAACGGGGAGCAGCCAUUGGAAACUACAGAACUGGAGUCUGACAGAGGUAGGCGGAAUUCCGGGUGGAGUGGUGAAAUGCGUAGAGAUCCGGAGGAACACCAGAGGCGAAGGCGGCCUACUGGGUCAGUACUGACGCUGAGCCGCGAAAGCCAGGGGAGCGAACGGG